rnacentral:rRNA from 1 species
GACGUAGGGGGCCAGCGUUGUUCGGAAUUACUGGGCGUAAAGGGUGCGUAGGCGGCGCGGUAAGUCGGGUGUGAAAUCUCGGGGCUUAACUCCGAAACUGCAUUCGAUACUGCCGUGCUUGAGGACUGGAGAGGAGACUGGAAUUUACGGUGUAGCGGUGAAAUGCGUAGAUAUCGUAAGGAAGACCAGUGGCGAAGGCGGGUCUCUGGACAGUUCCUGACGCUGAGGCACGAAGGCCAGGGGAGCAAACGGG